CCGGUAGCUCCAAGCUGCAACUCCAGUUUGGUGCUGUUUCUAGGCUUAGAUCUUCCUCUUUAAAAGAAGUUGCUCCGUCGUGUCGUGGCUGAUUGCCUAUCCUCCUCCGCUGUUGUCGCCACCUCUCACCAUGGAACUUCCUCUGUCACCUCGACUGAUGCUACGGCUAGGAUUUUCUGUUUUCUUUUUCUUUUUCUUUAUUAUAUUUUUUUCCUUUCCUUAUACGAGAC
rnacentral:lncRNA from 1 species